rnacentral:rRNA from 1 species
AUUGAACGCUGGCGGCAGGCCUAACACAUGCAAGUCGAACGAGUGGCGGACGGGUGAGUAAUGUCUGGGAAACUGCCCGAUGGAGGGGGGUAAAUCCUGGAAACGGUAGCUCAUACCGCAUAUCAUCGGAUGUGCCCAGAUGGGAUGAGCUCGUAGGGGGGGUAACGGCUCACCUAGGCGACGAUCCCUAGCUGGUGUGAGAGGAUGACCAGCCAAACUGGAACUGAGACACGGUCCAGACUACUACGGGAGGCAGCAGUGGGGAAUAUUGCCCAAUGGGCGCAAGCCUGAUGCAGCCAUGCCGCGUGUAUGAAGAAGGCCUUCGGGUUGUAAAGUACUUUCAGCGGGGAGGCGUUACCCGCAGAAGAAGCACCGGCUAACUCCGUGCCAGCCGCCGCGGUAAUUC